GACGAACGCUGGCGGCGCGCUUAACACAUGCAAGUCGAGCGAGAACCGGGACUUCGGGUCCUGGGGACAGCGGCGAACGGGUGAGUAACACGUGGAUAACCUGCCCUCGGCACCGGGAUAGCCCGAGGAAACUCGGAUUAAUACCGGAUAGCCCCUUCCGACUUUCGAGUCGGUCCGAAAAGGUAGCUUCGGCCUCUGGCCGAGGAUGGGUUCCGCGGCGGA
rnacentral:rRNA from 1 species